UCGCCUGACACUAAGGUGCCGAGGACCGGGGAGCUGGCCCUGAGGAGGGCGAUCCCCGCUAACCCGAACAUGAAGGCCAUACAGGAAUCGCUGGAGGAUAUUUCGUACUUGUUGAGGAUACCGCAGAGGAAGCCGUACGGUUCCAUGGAGGGCGAUGUGAAGAAGUCCAUGAAAAUAGCAAUGGA